AGCAAAAAAAAAAGAAGCACUAAACGAAGAAUAAGAAUCCCACUCAUUCAUGCUGCAUUACAUCAAAAUGAAUAGCAUUCGGGGUGCCAUUGUUGGGAUGGAAUGCUAAUGUCGUUUUUGAAGGUUCGGUAUGGGAGAUCUCGUGGAAAAGAGCAGUGAUGAGCCAGCGGGCUCCUUGGACGAUGGAUCUUCAGAGAUGGUCGGGCUGGUGGAGAACUCUAGUGAUGGGAAGGUGAAGUUCGAUGAUUCUGGCCUCUCUUCUCAGCUCCAGAUUGGUCUGGAGAACCUCCGACUGGAGAAUUCACUCACAGAUGUUACUCUAUAUGUGGAUGGAAUGGAAUUCCCUUGCCACAGGGUUGUCCUAGCGGCUGCCAGCAAUUAUUUCAGGGCGAUGUUCUGUAAUGAUCUUAAAGAGAAACAUGAAGAUACAAUCGCAAUAAAAGGUGUAGAUUCAGAAACCAUGAAGAUCCUGCUGGAUUACACCUACACCAGCAAAGUACUCAUCACCAAGCAAAAUGUGCAGAGAAUACUUGAAGCGGCAAGUCUUUUCCAGUUCCUGCGGAUGGUUGAUGCCUGCGCAAACUUUCUCACUGAAGUUCUGCAUCCGGAUAACUGCGUCGGAAUUCUGCGGCUGGCCGACACUCACUCACUGGACACCCUGAGAACACGGGUCCAGAACUUCCUCAUCCAGAACUUCCCACAGGUCGUCACCUACGAAGAGUUCCUCGACCUCCCAGAGGACAUUUUCUGCAACAUCCUGAAGAGCGAUGAGCUGAGUGUGACCGAGGAAGAGCAGGUGUUUGAGACGGUCAUGAGCUGGGUCCAAUCCAGAGAGAAUGAGAGGCUGUCACUCUUACCAAACAUUCUGAAGCACGUCCGGCUGCCUUUGUUGGACCCCUGGUACUUUGUGGAGAGGGUUGAAGGGGACGAGUCGAUCCGGAAAUGUCCCGAAGUCUUUCCUCUCCUGCAAGAGGCAAGGAUGUACCAUCUGUCAGGGAAUGAGAUCAUUUCUGAGCGAACGAAGCCCAGGAUACAGGAAUUCCAGUCCGAAGUGUUCAUGAUUAUCGGAGGCUGUACUAAAGACGAGAAGUUUGUGUCGGAGGUGACCUGUCUGGAUCCGCUGCGGCGCAGCCGGCUCGAGGUGGCAAAGCUGCCCAUCACAGAGAUGGAGACCGAGGCAGAGAACAAGAAGUGGGUGGAGUUCGCCUGCAUCACAUUUAGGAAUGAAGUGUAUAUAUCAGGUGGAAAGGAGACCCAGCAUGACGUGUGGAAAUACAAUGCCUCUUUGAACAAAUGGAUCCAAAUCGAGUAUCUGAACACUGGCAGGUGGAGACACAAAAUGGCAGUGCUGGGAGGCAAAGUCUACGUGAUUGGUGGCUUUGAUGGGAUUCAGCGGCAGAACAGUGUGGAAACAUACGACGCCUUUCAUAACUGCUGGACUGAGGCUGCCCCUCUCAUGCUAAACGUGAGCUCCUUUGCUGCGACGAGUUACAAGAAGAAGCUGUACGUGAUUGGAGGAGGGCCGAAUGGAAAACUCGCCACGGAUAAGACACAGUGCUUUGACCCGUCAACUAAUAAAUGGACUUUAAAGUCCCCCAUGCCAAUCGAAGCCAAGUGCAUCAACGCUGUGACCUUCAAGGACCACAUCUAUGUAGUGGGUGGUGCAAUGAAAGCCCUCUACUCCUACAGCCCUGUGGGAGAUUCCUGGAGUCUGGUCACCAGGUUCAGCCACGAGAGAGCCAGCUGCGGGAUCGCCGCCUGCAGCAACAAGCUGUUUGUGACGGGUGGCAGGGACGAGAAGAACGAAGUAAUUGCGACUGUGCUGUGCUGGGACCCGGCUGCGCAGAAACUGACUGAAGAGUGCGUUCUCCCCAGGGGCGUCUCGCACCACGGCAGCGUCACCAUUCGGAAGUCCUACACUCAUAUACGCAGGAUCGUGCCGGGGGCGGUUUCAGUCUGACAGCAGCGAACUGGAGUGGAACAAAAACUAGCACUUUCACUUCUGAAAAUAGUGUUGUUUGUUUGUUUGUUUGUUUGUUUGUUUUUUUAAUACUUCUUUACCUCAGUUACCCGUUUGGAAUCUACUGUACAGCUGAAUGGGUCACCUGCUUUGAACAGGUGUCUAUCAGCUGCUUCUGUCUGUGUACCAUUAUCCUAAUCCACUGGAGUUUGGGUUAUACAACGUUGCACAACCAAGCACGUAACGUGCUAUCCUCACCUCACCUUCAUUUUGUUUGGCAGAUAAAAUGCAAUAACAACAAGUGAACAAGGAGAUUUACAGGUUACAGUACAGUAGGCUACAGCACAGGUUUCCUAAUCUCAACGAUGUUCCACUUCCAAAUCUUGUAUACAAGAAACGGGUUUAAUGGCAACUACCAGUAAUGAAUCCAUUGUUAUUUUGAUCCUGUCUUCAAGUUUGGUGGUUAUAUUGGGACUUUCAGGUGGCUGUUUUGACAACAAAGAUGCACUCUGCCAAUUGCCAAGAUCCUUGUAUUGUACCUUUACAGUAACGUCGUUCAUUUUGUAGCUUUCCUGGUACAGAAUCUUUGUCAUAUUGAGUUUUACUUGGAUAAUUUUCAUCCAUAAGCAAAUUUGUAUUCUGGUUGAGUAGACCUUUAAACCGUAAUGUACUGUAUAUUGAAACUAAUGCUUAAGCCGGUAAAGAGCCUAUGGAAAAAGAGCCUGAACAGAUUUUUAAAAGUGCGUGAUAAAGGUGUGAAAGCUAAGGAAUGGGCAUCCCUUUUUUUUGGCCAAAGUUCAGGAAUUGUCAAAAUAUGUAUUAAAUAUAAUUUAACCUAAUAGGAUGAUACUCACCCUCAAAAAAUAACAACCUGAAGAAAAACUUUGAUAACUACUGGAAACGAAACCGUGGCACGUGUUCCUAGCUCAGUAAUUUACUCACUGGAAAGAGAACAGACAGAAAUUACAAGAGACACAAUGUUAUACUGCUAACCAUUGUUAUGGUUGCUAUUUAUUUUGUUUUUACAGUUUACAUGAACUUCAAAGAUGUUUAACACACAGGGCCAGCAGUGGACGGAUGUUGUGAAUUAGGUUCCUGUAAUAAUUGCAGAAAUUAUCUUACGGGUUCGCUAAAAACAAACUUGCUUUGUUUACAUCACUUAGGCGCUUGCUACCAAAAAAAAAAGAAAAAAGUCUGAAAUUUACUGCUAACAGUUGAUUUAGUUUGAGAAAUAUGUGCAAACCUGUAAAGUAUGCAAAUAUGUAAUGAACAAUUUGAAAAAUGUGUUUACAAUUUGGUGUUUGUUGUUGUUUUUAAGGUGAACAGUCUUUGCAAUCGCUUUUCUCUGAUGCAUAUCGGCAGGAUAUUAUUCCCAAUUAGCAGCCACGAGGAAUCAGCAAAUGCAGAGGUCCUAAUAAAAAUCCAAAACGCACUUCUGUUUUUUCAAACAAUAAAACAGACAUCACAAAGAAGUGACACAGGGUCCUUGAAUAGGGCAGGUAACCUCCUGAAAUAAGUGGAAUGGAAAGGGAUUACAAAACGGAUUCCUCUUCUACUCACCUCAUCACUGAGACUUGCUGCUAGAUCAUUUCAAGAAGCCGAUAGUAUCCCCACAGUGGGUUUUAAUUGAUUAUUAAUCUCACCUACCACACCUGUGCAAACGUCCCGCUAACAAUUGCCUUGUGAUGAGCUGGUUCAGUUGACUGCUGCUGUUAAACAGAUGCAUUUCGUCUUGAGUUAACUGGUUUUCAACAGCAUUUUCCAAGUCAAUACUACAUAAACACAAUGCAAUAUUCUCUAAAUAUAAAAUUAGAAGAAACCCAGCCACAAUGCAUCUCGUUAACAGCAGUAAUUAACUGAGUUUUCUGCAGGGACGCUCGCACAGGUGUUGCAGCCGAGAGUAAUUACACUAUCUAAUUUGUAGUCUCACGUUGAUGCUGCAGAAAGCCCUUGUGUGAGGGAAUGGAAUGAGUCUUUAGCAGCUAAGCCUGUGGCUAUGAACCUUGCUCAGCUUUUUUUUUUAAAUAAGUUUCAAAGCUGUGAUGAAAAACAGAAACAAGAUAAGAAUUGGAAACUAAAUAACAUGCAUGACGCGUGGGUAAGAUCACAAUACUUUUCCUUAUUACCUGUAAGGGAAAUCCAAAUCCUGUGAUGAAAACAAGACUUCCAUUACAUAGCAGUUGGAGCCAAGUACAUUUACAGUGAGCUUAAUGAGGCACAACUAAUGCCCUAUCCACAAUACCUAUAUCAUUCACAAUCACUAUUCAAAGCAUCGUGCAUAAUUUACUGUAGGUCGUAUGAAUAGUAUAUAAGUUUUUUUCUCUCAAUCAUUUGCCUAAUCUGGUUUUAAAAAAUAAAAGAAAACAUCCCAGCCUCACAAUGCCAGUUCAGGUAGGUGAGGUGGUGUGAGUAGUGUUGGAUAGUGUGAUUACUUGCAGGUGACACAAGGGAAUAGUAAUUUUGUACAGACAUUUUCUUGGGUAUACUGUAAGGGCCCCUGAAAUAAAUUUCGCACUGCCCCUCAGAUCAUGAAAUCCCAAUACUAAUCUGCAAACCCACCCAAUACCAAGCACACCAAUCCAAAAUGCAGGUUUUCAUUUCAAGACUCUGAAUUCACAGGCCAUGCGAUGUAUUCAGCCAAGACUGUCCAAGAGGUGGCAGUCAAGACCACCAGGAAAUCUCUUCAGUGCAGCAUGAUGCUAUACAGUGAAACUUUACAAACUACUAACAACUGAUACCCAUUAAUAUAAUCACGUAUGCUUUAGAAAUCUAAGAUUUGUUUUAAGAAACACACUCUAGAUCAAAUCUAACAAGAUCUGAAUAUGCAGAUCCCUUGUCUUCAUUAAAAAAAACAUUUCCAGGAACAGAGGUUCAAUAAAAAAUACAUACCGGUACUACAGACACCAAUACUAUACCUUAAAUUCUGCAAAACAUAUUGAAUAUUUCCCAUUUCAAGCAAUGUUUUAAUCCUCACCACAUGCAUUAAGAUUAAACAGUCAAUUUAGACCCAGAAUUUGUGCACAACUACAUUGUAGACCAUGCUGCCAAAUUGUCUGGUAGUGGUUACUAUUAAAAGGGGAGGGUUAUUUAUUUACCAUAACCCUAAUAUAAGGCAGGGCAAAGGCCCUCUUUAACAAGCUGUUAACGGGGCAUCCAUCCUCGGCCAAGGCUGCCGCCUACACCAACUCUGCGCCUUACUCCCCUACUAACCCACCUACGCUGCCCUAUUAACUAGCAGGGCAGCCAGCAAGCUCUCAUAGGCCAGUCACCACGUCCCACAAGAGUCCGCUAAUGAUGACGUUUGACUACUAGGGAAAAUCUCACUGUUUCAGGGCCAUAGCCCUAGAACACUAUACAGCAGCAGCUAUCAAAAACAGCCCCAGUGCAAUCUUCAAUAGUAACCAUCAUGUCAGGAUAGUGGUUAACACAGCAGCUGUCAUCUUUCCCUUGGAGAAAUUGCAGCCUAACAAAGGAAACAACAACGAACAUUUUUAACCAGACAAACCCUAACAAUAUAAUCUUCUUAUGUACUAAGGGGCAAUGAUGGCACAGGGCAGCUACAAUGAAAUGACUCAUUUGUAGAAUAGUACCACAGUGGUAAGAUAUUGUUAUGUUGCCAAACUGAAACCAUAGCAACAGAGUGCUACUUCGUUAGGACUGCUAUCAGAAAUAUUUGUUCCAGGUCCAUUUUGUUACCAUUGCUAGGAAUGCUGUGGUCCGCUAAUGAUUCUGCCUAGUCUUCUCUUAUUUCUGAUGUACAAGAUGUUAUAUCCUCCCUGUUUUGCGAAUCCCCAACAACACAUGGCUGCAGUUUCUCCACAGAAUCCAUACCUCCUGCCUACAGUCCUUCAACGGAAGCAGACUGUCUGAUAUACAUGCACAUUCAUUCAUUGCAUAGGCCUCAAAUAUGCAGUUUUAAUAAACGAUUGAAAACAUAUCUGGUACUACACUAGAAUAAAGAAAUCUCUGUUUGCACACCUGGAGAGUGAAAUUGUUCCCACCCCUUCACUGGCUUCUUUCCUGCCAAUAACCAAUCAGCUGCUUCCGCUUUUGCCUGACAUGCUUUCAACCAGUAACAUGCUUUGACCCAGAAGACACUGCUGAGGUAAAAUGACCAAGGAAGUAAAGCAGAAACAGACCUCCUGGAAAGCAAGACAAGCAAACUGAGAACUGUGUGUAGUACCAGGUGUCUGUUGAAUAUGUUGAAGCUGAAUAUGGUCCUGCAUCCUGCUUUCGGCCGACGCACCUAAGUGCCUGAUGUUACUGUUGAACCGUAUUGAAGCUAUCAAACCCUGGAGGACAGCUAGAUUAGGUGUUCCCUUCCAGCCCGGGGGGUUCAGUGGUCAGUGCACUGCUCUCUUUGAACGACCUGCAAGCAUGACCAGGUUCCUUACAAGGUCAUUUUCUGCCCUGAUGGUUUUGAUUGGCUGGUGUAGAAGAAAGUGCAGCUCAAAGUGAAGGAUGCCAUGGCCAAGAUACUUAGUUAACACCUCCAUCACUCAUAACUGCCAUAUGCAAGGUAAAACUAUAAAACUAUAAAACUAUUUUAUAGUUAUAGUCAAGUUAUUAGUAUUAUUAGAAUUCUGAUUGAGCAUUUUAAAGGUGUAAUAUUAGCCCUCCACAAAAAAUAAAUUGUGAUCAUUUUAAUUGCUUUACUUCUGUAAAAUUCUUAACUGUACUGUGGAAUGUCAGCGGUCUAUUACACUGAUGCUUCAUUGAAAUAAUGGUCCACUUUGAUUAAAAAUAUUUUGAAUUGACUGAUGUAAAACAGUUUUCUGUUGGUCAAUUUAGUACACAUAUUUAUUUAUCUUUCCUGGCUGGUUUAAAUUGCUGGUAUCUGACUGAUCAAACUAAAACGUGUCUAAAUACUCUAUAAAUCAAAUAUGUUCACCCAGUGGCUCUUGU